ACUCCUACGGGAGGCAGCAGUAGGGAAUCUUCCGCAAUGGACGAAAGUCUGACGGAGCAACGCCGCGUGAGUGAUGAAGGUUUUCGGAUCGUAAAGCUCUGUUGUUAGGGAAUAACAAGUGCCGUUCAAAUAGGGCGGCGCCUUGACGGUACCUAACCAGAAAGCCACGGCUAACUACGUGCCAGCAGCCGCGGUAAUACA
rnacentral:rRNA from 1 species